rnacentral:rRNA from 1 species
GAUGAACGCUGGCGGCGUGCCUAAUACAUGCAAGUCGAGCGAACGGACGAGAAGCUUGCUUCUCUGAUGUUAGCGGCGGACGGGUGAGUAACACGUGGAUAACCUACCUAUAAGACUGGGAUAACUUCGGGAAACCGGAGCUAAUACCGGAUAAUAUUUUGAACCGCAUGGUUCAAAAGUGAAAGACGGUCUUGCUGUCACUUAUAGAUGGAUCCGCGCUGCAUUAGCUAGUUGGUAAGGUAACGGCUUACCAAGGCAACGAUGCAUAGCCGACCUGAGAGGGUGAUCGGCCACACUGGAACUGAGACACGGUCCAGACUCCUACGGGAGGCAGCAGUAGGGAAUCUUCCGCAAUGGGCGAAAGCCUGACGGAGCAACGCCGCGUGAGUGUUGAAGGUCUUCGGAUCGUAAAACUCUGUUAUUAGGGAAGAACAUAUGUGUAAGUAACUGUGCACAUCUUGACGGUACCUAAUCAGAAAGCCACGGCUAACUACGUG